GUGAUGCAGGGGGUCUCAUCCAUGUGGUGCCACACUACUGGUUGCCAACGACCGGGAAGGAAGGUGGUGUGGAUGUCGUGCUCGUGUCUUCCUCUACAGGGAUGCUCGGACUCCCCUUCCUCACUGGGCUCCCUGGAUUCGCCAACACGAAGGAGUAAUAGGAGCUAAUAAUAUCCAACCAUCAAUCCAGCAGAAUUUAAUAGGAUAUGAGUUGAUAUCAAAUGCAGAGUUUACAUUUUCACCGUGGA